ACUCAGAUAAGCUAAUCUGGUCUAAUGGUUUCGCAUUCGGUACCGUUGUGGGUUCUUGCAUAACCAGAAACGAGUUUUACAAGUAGGAUGGCAAUUAACUGCGGACUUUGCCAAACAUUUGUCCUCAAAAAUAAAAAGCCCCACUGUACCCUUGUAAGUGCGACCUAGCGUGGCAGUGUAUCUCUCAAGAAGUUGUCAUGUGCGUCAAGCGGGCAGGCAGGCCCAUCAGUUGGAAAAUCCGGUUGAAAGGAAAAGUUAAAAGAUGUUUUUCAACUUAAAAAUAAACAAGAAAUGAAAAGACAAAUAAAGGAAAAUAAUAUCUGUAAGAAGAAAAGAAAAAAAGAAAUCGCAGCGUAGCGAAAGAAGAACGAAAAAGAACUAUAAAACGAAAAAUACGAGUCAACAUUUAAAGGCGGAAUGCGUAAUUUAUUUUGAAGAAAAAUAGCAAAUUUACAGACGCACUCAUGGCCAAAGCAGAAAGUCAAUGUACAGCACAUUGAUUUACAUUUAAUUCCGAACAUCAGACUGUUGCUGCUUCUUGGCCUGUUUCAUUUUCAUAGCCGUCCCUUUCAUUGAAGUGAUGACUUGCUUCUUGUUCUCCUCCUUGAGCCGUUUCUCCUCCUCUUCAUCCACAGGUUCAACCCCAUCCUUGUUUUUGUCGGCCUCGUCAACCAGAUCAUUUUGCUGCCGAAAAAAAUCUUCAUACGUAAACUUGACGCAAUGGACCGAGUCACAUAGCUCGAAACCGCAUUGUAAGCAGGCCGGAAGCCGGAUCUCCGUCACUCCUGAACGGUUUGUUCUGAUUAUUCGGCGUACGGAAAGGCCGCUGACAAACCCGCUAAUCCUCCUAGUUCGAAUCCCUCCUUCUCGUCUUGUUUUCAACCGUAAUUUCUCCAAUUCGACCAACCU